UUGACCUGUGCUCUUUGUGCUUCUCUAGUGCCCACCGGAUGCUCCCAAGAGUCGACGAGCCGCAGAGAACCAGGUGGAGUUUGUGCCCAAUCCCUUCGCUCAGGCGAUUCUCGGAUCCAAGGAACUUGCAGAAAAAGUUAUUCAGGAGGGCCAUGCGGGUCAGUCAGGCCUUAAAGGAGAGAAGGGAGACCGGGGUUUGGACUGUACUGGUGCUGGAGUUCCUGGACGAUGCUUAGAAGGUGCUAAAGGGGAGAAAGGAGCGAAGGGAGAGUCGGUAAGUGUGUGCGCCACCCUUGUCUUAGAGAGAGGUUUGCGAUCGAAUUUUUGUU
rnacentral:lncRNA from 1 species